GUGGGGAAUCUUGCGCAAUGGGCGAAAGCCUGACGCAGCCAUGCCGCGUGGAUGAUGAAGGUCUUAGGAUUGUAAAAUCCUUUCACCGGUGAAGAUAAUGACUGUAGCCGGAGAAGAAGCCCCGGCUAACUUCGUGCCAGCAGCCGCGGUAAUACGAAGGGGGCUAGCGUUGCUCGGAAUUACUGGGCGUAAAGGGAGCGUAGGCGGACAUUUAAGUCAGGGGUGAAAUCCCGAGGCUCAACCUCGGAACUGCCUUUGAUACUGGGUGUCUUGAGUGUGAGAGAGGUGAGUGGAACUCCGAGUGUAGAGGUGAAAUUCGUAGAUAUCGGGAGGAACACCAGUGGCGAAGGCGACUCACUGGCCCAAUACUGACGCUGAGGCGCGAAAGCGUGGGGAGCAAACAGGAUUAGAAACCCUGGUAGUCC
rnacentral:rRNA from 1 species